AUUGAACGCUGGCGGCAGGCCUAACACAUGCAAGUCGAGCGGCAGCGGGACCUUCGGGUUGCCGGCGAGCGGCGGACGGGUGAGUAAUGCCUAGGAAUCUGCCUGUUAGUGGGGGAUAACGCGGGGAAACUCGCGCUAAUACCGCAUACGUCCUACGGGAGAAAGUGGGGGACCUUCGGGCCUCACGCUAACAGAUGAGCCUAGGUCGGAUUAGCUAGUUGGUGGGGUAACGGCCCACCAAGGCGACGAUCCGUAACUGGUCUGAGAGGAUGAUCAGUCACACUGGAACUGAGACACGGUCCAGACUCCUACGGGAGGCAGCAGUGGGGAAUAUUGGACAAUGGGCGAAAGCCUGAUCCAGCCAUGCCGCGUGUGUGAAGAAGGUCUUCGGAUUGUAAAGCACUUUAAGUCGGGAGGAAGGGCUGUAGGCGAAUACCCUGCAGUCUUGACGUUACCGACAGAAUAAGCACCGGCUAACUUCGUGCCAG
rnacentral:rRNA from 1 species